UCUCUCUGAAUCUGCGAACGGCUCCGCAAACCAGUUGUAAACAGACGCAAGUCAGCGGUUCGUCCGCACCUUAUAUGGAUAACCGUGGUAAUUCUGAGGCUAAUACACGCCAUUGAAGGCUGCAUCUCAACCAAAUUUAUUUGGCAGCGAAACAGCCGGAUGUGUGUUAGCCCUAGAGGCGCCACGAGAGGUCACACAUUCAGACCAUCACAAAAGGGUUGGUGUCAGCUCGCCUCCGGGCGGGCGGUGCCGGCCUGAUGGCUCCUGCGGUGUGCUUCUCACCUAUCAACUAGAUUGCAGCCUAUGGGACAUGCUAUGGUUACAACGGGUACAGAGGAUUAGGGUUCGAUCCUGGAGAGUGGGCCUGAGAGAUU
rnacentral:rRNA from 1 species